rnacentral:lncRNA from 1 species
UGAUUGACGCCCUGCCGCGGCGCCGCCCACGCAGCCACGCUCCUCUCACAAAUUACAGUGCCUAAUUAGUAAUAACGUAAACCUCUCUCUCUCUCUCUCUCUCUCUUUCUCUCGUUCUCUUUUCCAUCUCUCUCUCAAUCCCUCCCCUCUUGCCUCCGGCCUCCCGCCUCUUGGACCGCCGCGCGGCCGCGCCGACUGCCGGUGCUGCUCGUCGCCUCCCUGCUUG